ensembl:lncRNA
AAUUUAGGGCACCUCAGUACAGAAAGGACAUUGAGGUGCUGGAGCAGGUCCAAAGAAGGGCAACAAGGCUUGUGAAGGGCUUGGAGAAUAUGCCCUAUGGGGAGAGACUGAAGGAACUGGGGCUGUUUAAUCUGGGGAAAAGGAGGCUGAGGGGAGACCUCAUUGCUCUCUUCCAAUAUCUGAAAGGUGCUUACAGUGAGAGUGGGGUUGGUCUCUUCUCACUGGUGACAGAACAAGGGGAAAUGGCCUCAAGUUGUACCAGGGUAAGUUUAGGCUGGAUAUCAGGAAAGGGUUGUUUUACAAAAAGGGCUGUGAAGCACUGGAAUAGGCUCCCCAGGGAGGUGGUUGAAUCACCAUUCCUGGAUGUGUUUAAAAACCAUUUGGAUGUGGUGCUCAGGGACAUGAUUUAGCGGAGGGUUGUUAGAGUUAGGGUAGUACUGUUAGGUUAUGGUUGAACUCAGUGAUCUUUAAGGUUUUCUCCAACCUCAGCGAUUCUAUGAUUCUAAUGUUCUAUGAUUCUAUUGUAUAUUCAUCUGAAUACAAGUUUAGUUUUACAAAGUUCCCCUCCUCUCUGUGUUAUUCAAAAAAUUGCCUCAGAUUUCUAACCUAAAGUAGUUGGGCACUGGAAUGGGCUGCCCAGAGAGAUGGUUGAGUCACCAUCCCUGGAGUUGUUCAAGAAACAUUCCAAUGUUAUACUGAGGGACAUGGUUUAGUGCAAUUAUAUCAGUGGUAGGAGGACAGUUAGACUGGAUGAUCUUGGAGGUCUUUUCCAUCCUUGAUGAUUUUAUGAUUCUAUGAUAAACUAAAAAAUAAAAAAUAAAAAUCUAUUUUAUGUAGUGAAAGCAAAUAAAUGGAAAGGAUUUAGAAAUGUCAUCUGUAAACAAACUGUAUGAGACUCAGAAAGCAACCUCUAAACUGCCAGAAUGAAUAUUUGCAGUGUCAUGAAGGUCGAUGUUGAUGUGGAAAAUACUAUAUUUUUCCACAAUAAACAUCUGCAGACUAUAGUUAGCAUCCAAAGGAGUGGUCUAGUUAUGAGAAGUAAAUGACAUCCAUUUAGACAAUCUGUCUAGCAUUUCUGAUUAAUUAAUGACAAAAUAUAUUCAGAAAGGAAAUCUGUUCACACACAUGCACACACACAACCACACAGAUGUUAAUCCUAUAUUAAAGAUGAGACAGACUUUUCCAAAUAGAAUUGCAUUAAAACAAAAUUUUCAACUGAAAUUUAGUUUAAUAUGCAUAGACAUAUAAAAAUUGUGUAAAAAAACAUUAAUAAGUAACAGUAGAGAGUAUGCUAACACUAAUAAGAAGGAAUCCAGUCUGUUAAAUGCUAGAAUUAUGUUUAUGCUACCAUUCUGCAAUUUGCGUUACUUUCAAAAAUAUAUUUUUCUACCAACCGUCCAAAGUUUUUGGCAUGGUCAAAAUACGUGCACUUUUGGAGCAGAAAUAGCUGUCCAGUUUAUACUUGUUAGAAGUCUGACCAGUGGCCCAAAGUGACAUUCUGGGAAAUAUGCAAAUGAUUUUUUCAAGUUAUUUUAGAAAUAAUGGUAUUCAGCUCAGGAAGUUUAUGUUAAGUGCAAUCUGCAGUGGAGUUGUAGUGAGAACUUCAUUUUGGCUGAUGGAUGAUAAGAAUAAAGUCCUCCACAGAUGAAUUGAGCCUUGUGUGUAUAUCCGCAAGCUAUACUCAGACAGCUUAUUUCAUAUAAAAUUCCUACAUAUUGCGUGGUUUCAUCUAACACUGAUCCCAGUUCAGUUGGAUCCUAUGUUAUCAGGUCACAUUUUUCAGCUGAAAAAAUACAGAGCUUUUAUUUACUAAUACUGACUUUGGUUCAGGCUCUUGGAACUUAAACGUGCAACAUGAUGCCCAGAGAUAACUUGGGAAGUGGAGCUUCUUCCUGGACACCUCAGAGUUUCACAUUUGUGUAGAGUACUUGUUAUUUUUGUAAAACCAAGUCUGUGGCAGAAUGAGCAAGUGCUGUUCAUAAACUGAUCAUUCAUAUUCAUGAAAUGGAGAAUGUCUAAAAAGAUAUCCUCCAGAGUGGGAAAAACCAAAUGGGGUGGUGUCAAAGUAUUUCACUUCAGGUCUCAAAGCACACUGGAAUGAGAGACUUUUCACACACACUCACAUAC